rnacentral:rRNA from 1 species
GAUUAAGUUAUUAAGGGCGCACGGUGGAUGCCUUGGCACUAGAAGCCGAUGAAGGACGUUACUAACGACGAUAUGCUUUGGGGAGCUGUAAGUAAGCUUUGAUCCAGAGAUUUCCGAAUGGGGAAACCCAACAUGAGUUAUGUCAUGUUAUCGAUAUGUGAAUACAUAGCAUAUCAGAAGGCACACCCGGAGAACUGAAACAUCUUAGUACCCGGAGGAAGAGAAAGAAAAUUCGAUUCCCUUAGUAGCGGCGAGCGAAACGGGAAGAGCCCAAACCAACAAGCUUGCUUGUUGGGGUUGUAGGACACUCUAUACGGAGUUACAAAGGACGACAUUAGACGAAUCAUCUGGAAAGAUGAAUCAAAGAAGGUAAUAAUCCUGUAGUCGAAAAUGUUGUCUCUCUUGAGUGGAUCCUGAGUACGACGGAGCACGUGAAAUUCCGUCGGAAUCUGGGAGGACCAUCUCCUAAGGCUAAAUACUCUCUAGUGACCGAUAGUGAACCAGUACCGUGAGGGAAAGGUGAAAAGCACCCCGGAAGGGGAGUGAAAUAGAACCUGAAACCGUGUGCUUACAAGUAGUCAGAGCCCGUUAAUGGGUGAUGGCGUGCCUUUUGUAGAAUGAACCGGCGAGUUACGAUUUGAUGCAAGGUUAAGCAGUAAAUGUGGAGCCGUAGCGAAAGCGAGUCUGAAUAGGGCGUUUAGUAUUUGGUCGUAGACCCGAAACCAGGUGAUCUACCCUUGGUCAGGUUGAAGUUCAGGUAACACUGAAUGGAGGACCGAACCGACUUACGUUGAAAAGUGAGCGGAUGAACUGAGGGUAGCGGAGAAAUUCCAAUCGAACCUGGAGAUAGCUGGUUCUCUCCGAAAUAGCUUUAGGGCUAGCCUCAAGUGAUGAUUAUUGGAGGUAGAGCACUGUUUGGACGAGGGGCCCCUCUCGGGUUACCGAAUUCAGACAAACUCCGAAUGCCAAUUAAUUUAACUUGGGAGUCAGAACAUGGGUGAUAAGGUCCGUGUUCGAAAGGGAAACAGCCCAGACCACCAGCUAAGGUCCCAAAAUAUAUGUUAAGUGGAAAAGGAUGUGGCGUUGCCCAGACAACUAGGAUGUUGGCUUAGAAGCAGCCAUCAUUUAAAGAGUGCGUAAUAGCUCACUAGUCGAGUGACACUGCGCCGAAAAUGUACCGGGGCUAAACAUAUUACCGAAGCUGUGGAUUGUCCUUUGGACAAUGGUAGGAGAGCGUUCUAAGGGCGUUGAAGCAUGAUCGUAAGGACAUGUGGAGCGCUUAGAAGUGAGAAUGCCGGUGUGAGUAGCGAAAGACGGGUGAGAAUCCCGUCCACCGAUUGACUAAGGUUUCCAGAGGAAGGCUCGUCCGCUCUGGGUUAGUCGGGUCCUAAGCUGAGGCCGACAGGCGUAGGCGAUGGAUAACAGGUUGAUAUUCCUGUACCACCUAUAAUCGUUUUAAUCGAUGGGGGGACGCAGUAGGAUAGGCGAAGCGUGCGAUUGGAUUGCACGUCUAAGCAGUAAGGCUGAGUAUUAGGCAAAUCCGGUACUCAUUAAGGCUGAGCUGUGAUGGGGAGAAGACAUUGUGUCUUCGAGUCGUUGAUUUCACACUGCCGAGAAAAGCCUCUAGAUAGAAAAUAGGUGCCCGUACCGCAAACCGACACAGGUAGUCAAGAUGAGAAUUCUAAGGUGAGCGAGCGAACUCUCGUUAAGGAACUCGGCAAAAUGACCCCGUAACUUCGGGAGAAGGGGUGCUCUUUAGGGUUAACGCCCAGAAGAGCCGCAGUGAAUAGGCCCAAGCGACUGUUUAUCAAAAACACAGGUCUCUGCUAAACCGUAAGGUGAUGUAUAGGGGCUGACGCCUGCCCGGUGCUGGAAGGUUAAGAGGAGUGGUUAGCUUCUGCGAAGCUACGAAUCGAAGCCCCAGUAAACGGCGGCCGUAACUAUAACGGUCCUAAGGUAGCGAAAUUCCUUGUCGGGUAAGUUCCGACCCGCACGAAAGGCGUAACGAUUUGGGCACUGUCUCAACGAGAGACUCGGUGAAAUCAUAGUACCUGUGAAGAUGCAGGUUACCCGCGACAGGACGGAAAGACCCCGUGGAGCUUUACUGUAGCCUGAUAUUGAAAUUCGGCACAGCUUGUACAGGAUAGGUAGGAGCCUUUGAAACGUGAGCGCUAGCUUACGUGGAGGCGCUGGUGGGAUACUACCCUAGCUGUGUUGGCUUUCUAACCCGCACCACUUAUCGUGGUGGGAGACAGUGUCAGGCGGGCAGUUUGACUGGGGCGGUCGCCUCCUAAAAGGUAACGGAGGCGCUCAAAGGUUCCCUCAGAAUGGUUGGAAAUCAUUCAUAGAGUGUUAAGGCAUAAGGGAGCUUGACUGCGAGAGCUACAAGUCGAGCAGGGUAGAAAGACGGACUUAGUGAUCCGGUUGUUCAGCAUGGAAGGGCCAUCGCUCAACGGAUAAAAGCUACCCCGGGGAUAACAGGCUUAUCUCCCCCAAGAGUUCACAUCGACGGGGAGGUUUGGCACCUCGAUGUCGGCUCAUCGCAUCCUGGGGCUGUAGUCGGUCCCAAGGGUUGGGCUGUUCGCCCAUUAAAGCGGUACGCGAGCUGGGUUCAGAACGUCGUGAGACAGUUCGGUCCCUAUCCGUCGUGGGCGUAGGAAAUUUGAGAGGAGCUGUCCUUAGUACGAGAGGACCGGGAUGGACAUACCUCUGGUGUACCAGUUGUCGUGCCAACGGCAUAGCUGGGUAGCUAUGUGUGGACGGGAUAAGUGCUGAAAGCAUCUAAGCAUGAAGCCCCCCUCAAGAUGAGAUUUCCCAACUUCGGUUAUAAGAUCCCUCAAAGAUGAUGAGGUUAAUAGGUUCGAGGUGGAAGCAUGGUGACAUGUGGAGCUGACGAAUACUAAUCGAUCGAAGACUUAAUCAA